rnacentral:rRNA from 1 species
AUUGAACGCUGGCGGCAUGCCUUACACAUGCAAGUCGAACGGCAGCACGGGAGCAAUCCUGGUGGCGAGUGGCGAACGGGUGAGUAAAGUAUCGGAACGUGCCCAGUCGUGGGGGAUAACGUAGCGAAAGUUAAGCUAAUACCGCAUACGAUCUCUGGAUGAAAGCGGGGGAUCGCAAGACCUCGCGCGAUUGGAGCGGCCGAUAUCAGAUUAGGUAGUUGGUGGGGCAAAGGCCCACCAAGCCGACGAUCUGUAGCUGGUCUGAGAGGACGACCAGCCACACUGGGACUGAGACACGGCCCAGACUCCUACGGGAGGCAGCAGUGGGGAAUUUUGGACAAUGGGCGAAAGCCUGAUCCAGCCAUGCCGCGUGCAGGAUGAAGGCCUUCGGGUUGUAAACUGCUUUUGUACGGAACGAAAAGGACUGCCCUAAUACGGUGGUCCCAUGACGGUACCGUAAGAAUAAGCACCGGCUAACUACGUGCCAGCCGCCGCGGUAA